GUAUUUUAGGAGCUCUCCCCCAGGAGAACCAGAAUUUGGAAGGAGGCUGGAAGCCCAAGUGGAAAGAUAUCUAUAAUGUUAACUUUGCCUGAUGAGCUUUUGUCGUGACAAGGACUGCAGAACUGUAAACCAGGAACAGUGCAAACAGGAUCGGCCAACAUUUUAUCUUCACAGCCCCAUUCUUUGACCUUGCCUUGAGCAUAGGCAGAAUCAUGCAGAACAGCGCCUACAAGUAAAAUAGAAAGCUACUUGGAAAAAAUGAGAAGAUGGUGGUAUUUGGCACAUGGCAAGACAUGUGAAAAUGAAAUAAAAACAUAACAGGAACCAAGAAAGAUCAACUAGCUGGAUGGCAGACCAGUAGCAGUUGUUUAGAAAUCAAAACAGGCUCAAACAAAACACCUAAGUCAUAAAUGUUUACUGUUGCCAACUUCAAAGCAUUCAAGCACAGAACAUAAGCCCAAGGGGAAAAAGCUGCACUAAAGGGCAAGUCUGCAUCAAAGAAAGGAUUAGAAAAAAUUAAAUGCUUACAGUAAUGAUGCUGUGGUCUAAAGCCCUCAGUGAGUUCCCCAUACAGUAGAGGGAUUUAUGAGCUCCCUGGUGAACUUAGGCCCUUAUUUUAAAGCUUUGUAAACAUUUAGUUAAUUGUCACCAUCUGCCUGCAUGGUAGCUGCACUUUGCAAUGUGAACACUGUGCUGAGGAGUUGUAUGACUUGAGGAAAGGGACAGUGAAUGAGGAGCACAAUGGCGAAUUUUCUGACUGUUCUGCAGCUGGCUUCAGUCAUCUCUACAGAUAAUGAUGACAAAAUAUGAUGAUACAGCUAACACUACCUGGGACCUGUUUUGUUUUCCCAGUAGUGGUACUAGUAGGAAAUUGAGGUAUACUUCUAAUAGUCAAAAAUUACCAACCUGAAAAUCCGUGUUUGUAGAUUUUGUAUUUCUCACAAAAUACACUGCCAGCACUGUCAUAAGCCCUCAACAUUAACAAGUUUAAACCUUAGAGGCUGCAAUUUUGCCAGCCCAUACUCUUCAAAGGGCAAAAAAACACUAAGCAAAAUCAGUUGGAUCUAAAAAAAAACAAACACAACCACUGUACAUUUAUCUCAGAGAAAAUGGUAAAGAAGUUUUACUUGCCUUCAUUAAAAGCAUUUACAUUUCAAAUUUAAAAUAUCUGAUCAAUCAAGAGGACUAAAGUAACUUUAAAAAGAUG